rnacentral:tRNA from 1 species
ACCCUUUGGUGUAGUGCACGUAAAGUUUUGAAUUUUAAAGUAGAGUCAGUCUAAGGGU